UCAGCGUAACGCCAAGCGGCUGCGACCCCACCGGAGCGAGUUCGGUGCCACGGUUUGCAAGCAGGGAUCUAGAGGAACAGACGACAGCCCAGACAAGGAGGCGCAAACUCAAUUGUACGAACAAUCCAACAAGAAAGGCCUUCCAUAGAAGGCCUUUUCUUUUUUCUUUUCUGUUUCUUCUUCGUGCGCUUCAUUAGCUCCAGCCCGAACGCAGACCGAACAACUGAGAGAAACUCUUUCCUUGACGGCUCCAGCGAAUUCCGGACACACCGGGUGGUCAGCACCUACCCGUUACGGCACAGAACCGGGUGGCAAGCCACACGGAUGAGCCGAAAAGUUGCCAUCGAUUGGGGUUGGCUCCUCGCAACGCGGAUCGCCGAGGGUGAGCAGUAAAAGGGUCCGUGGCUGCCAUGCAGGUCACCACAGCACAGUCAACCGUAACCCACGUCAGCAUGUUCCGGUCCGUGAGUAAAAAACUAAGAAAAUUGUUAGAAUAAGCAAAGAAGAUAGGCAGAUAGGGCCAGUGAGGAAUGAGAAGGAAUAAAAUUGGCUCAUUGUUGAUGAAUAUGUAAA